ACCGAAUAGGGGAGCCGGAGGGAAACCGAGUCUUAAUUGGGCGUUAAGUUGCAGGGUAUAGACCCGAAACCCGGUGAUCUAGCCAUGGGCAGGUUGAAGGUUGGGUAACACUAACUGGAGGACCGAACCGACUAAUGUUGAAAAAUUAGCGGAUGACCUGUGGCUGGGGGUGAAAGGCCAAUCAAACCGGGAGAUAGCUGGUUCUCCCCGAAAGCUAUUUAGGUAGCGCCUCGUGAAUUCAUCUCCGGGGGUAGAGCACUGUUUCGGCUAGGGGGCCAUCCCGGCUUACCAACCCGAUGCAAACUGCGAAUACCGGAGAAUGUUAUCACGGGAGACACACGGCGGGUGCUAACGUCCGUCGUGAAGAGGGAAACAACCCAGACCGCCAGCUAAGGUCCCAAAGUCAUGGUUAAGUGGGAAACGAUGUGGGAAGGCCCAGACAGCCAGGAUGUUGGCUUAGAAGCAGCCAUCAUUUAAAGAAAGCGUAAUAGCUCACUGGUCGAGUCGGCCUGCGCGGAAGAUGUAACGGGGCUAAACCAUGCACCGAAGCUGCGGCAGCGACACUGUGUGUUGUUGGGUAGGGGAGCGUUCUGUAAGCCUGUGAAGGUGUGUCGUGAGGCAUGCUGGAGGUAUCAGAAGUGCGAAUGCUGACAUAAGUAACGAUAAAGCGGGUGAAAAGCCCGCUCGCCGGAAGACCAAGGGUUCCUGUCCAACGUUAAUCGGGGCAGGGUGAGUCGACCCCUAAGGCGAGGCCGAAAGGCGUAGUCGAUGGGAAACGGGUUAAUAUUCCCGUACUUGGUGUUACUGCGAAGGGGGGACGGAGAAGGCUAUGUUGGCCGGG
rnacentral:rRNA from 1 species